UACGAAGGGGGCUAGCGUUGCUCGGAAUCACUGGGCGUAAAGGGUGCGUAGGCGGCCCUUUAAGUCAGGGGUGAAAUCCUGGAGCUCAACUCCAGAACUGCCUUUGAUACUGAAGAUCUUGAGUUCGGGAGAGGUGAGUGGAACUGCGGGUGUAGAGGUGAAAUUCGUAGAUAUUAGGAAGAACACCAGUGGCGAAGGCGGCUCACUGGUCCGGUACUGACGCUGAGGCGCGAAGGCGUGGGGAGCGAACGGG
rnacentral:rRNA from 1 species